rnacentral:rRNA from 1 species
CUGGAGGUAUCAGAAGUGCGAAUGCUGACAUAAGUAACGAUAAAGCGGGUGAAAAGCCCGCUCGCCGGAAGACCAAGGGUUCCUGUCCAACGUUAAUCGGGGCAGGGUGAGUCGACCCCUAAGGCGAGGCCGAAAGGCGUAGUCGAUGGGAAACAGGUUAAUAUUCCUGUACUUGGUGUUACUGCGAAGGGGGGACGGAGAAGGCUAUGUUGGCCGGGCGACGGUUGUCCCGGUUUAAGCGUGUAGGCUGGUUUUCCAGGCAAAUCCGGAAAAUCAAGGCUGAGGCGUGAUGACGAGGCACUACGGUGCUGAAGCAACAAAUGCCCUGCUUCCAGGAAAAGCCUCUAAGCAUCAGGUAACAUCAAAUCGUACCCCAAACCGACACAGGUGGUCAGGUAGAGAAUACCAAGGCGCUUGAGAGAACUCGGGUGAAGGAACUAGGCAAAAUGGUGCCGUAACUUCGGGAGAAGGCACGCUGAUAUGUAGGUGAAGUCCCUCGCGGAUGGAGCUGAAAUCAGUCGAAGAUACCAGCUGGCUGCAACUGUUUAUUAAAAACACAGCACUGUGCAAACACGAAAGUGGACGUAUACGGUGUGACGCCUGCCCGGUGCCGGAAGGUUAAUUGAUGGGGUCAGCGCAAGCGAAGCUCUUGAUCGAAGCCCCGGUAAACGGCGGCCGUAACUAUAACGGUCCUAAGGUAGCGAAAUUCCUUGUCGGGUAAGUUCCGACCUGCACGAAUGGCGUAAUGAUGGCCAGGCUGUCUCCACCCGAGACUCAGUGAAAUUGAACUCGCUGUGAAGAUGCAGUGUACCCGCGGCAAGACGGAAAGACCCCGUGAACCUUUACUAUAGCUUGACACUGAACAUUGAGCCUUGAUGUGUAGGAUAGGUGGGAGGCUUUGAAGUGUGGACGCCAGUCUGCAUGGAGCCGACCUUGAAAUACCACCCUUUAAUGUUUGAUGUUCUAACGUGGACCCGUAAUCCGGGUUGCGGACAGUGUCUGGUGGGUAGUUUGACUGGGGCGGUCUCCUCCUAAAGAGUAACGGAGGAGCACGAAGGUUGGCUAAUCCUGGUCGGACAUCAGGAGGUUAGUGCAAUGGCAUAAGCCAGCUUGACUGCGAGCGUGACGGCGCGAGCAGGUGCGAAAGCAGGUCAUAGUGAUCCGGUGGUUCUGAAUGGAAGGGCCAUCGCUCAACGGAUAAAAGGUACUCCGGGGAUAACAGGCUGAUACCGCCCAAGAGUUCAUAUCGACGGCGGUGUUUGGCACCUCGAUGUCGGCUCAUCACAUCCUGGGGCUGAAGUAGGUCCCAAGGGUAUGGCUGUUCGCCAUUUAAAGUGGUACGCGAGCUGGGUUUAGAACGUCGUGAGACAGUUCGGUCCCUA